CAGCAUUUCCUGGAGAAUUAUUAAUAAUCAUGGGAUCCUUGAGUGCUGGAAAAUCAACAAUUUUUAAUGCCCUGACAAUUUGAUCAACUUGAGCAGUCACAGUUUCGGGAACAAUGUCAGCUAGUGGACAAAGGGUAUCUGCCAGCGUUUUGACCUCAUGGAUGGCUGACGUACAACAUGACGAUCUUUUUGUUGGUUCACUUACUGCUUAAAAGCAUUUACUUUUUCAUAUUCCCUUUAGACAAUGGUUUAAUAGAAUCAAGGAAGUUAUUUCCGGAGUGAACACUCUCUCCUUGACCAAAUGUAUCAACACAGUAAUAAGAAUACUUGGAAGAUUAAAAGGACUAUCUGGUGGAGAAAUGAAACGACUUUUUAUUUGGUUCUGAAGUUAUAAUGAAUCCUCCGUUUAUGUUUUGUGACGAGACAACAUCAGGUCCUGACUCUUUUAUGGCACAUCAAGUUGCGUCUGUUUUAAAAGCUCUGGCUGGAAGAUUUCCAAAUGGUGAUCAUCAAUUUAAUUGCACUCAUAAUUCCUUUUAAUUUAUUGUUUUUUUGCACUUCCUUCCAAAACUUUUCCCUGAAAUUAAAAUUCAAAAAAAUUAUAAUUAUCAAUGGACAAAUUUUAAUAUUAAG